rnacentral:lncRNA from 1 species
GAUUGCGCCGCUUCUGCUUUCUGAUGAGCUGGGGGAGAGGCAUCCCGGGCAGCUUCUGGCUCGCCUUGCCAGAUGAUGGCAGAGUCCGCCCUGCCUGUCCCCAGCCUAGACGCCUAGCUGCACCAGGCAGGGCAUCGCUUUUGACGAUGGAAUGUGAUGUAGUGAGUGCUGCGGGUUGACUCGUGACCUAGGCUUUGAAGGAACUGCAGCUCAGGACAUGUAAAACUGUUUAGAUGGGAACCCUGGCCUUUCUCAGCUCUAUCGAGAGGCCCCGCCCCGCUAUCGUCUCAGCCAAAGUCACAACCCACUAUUGUGCAAGGGCCGCCUGGGAACACACAAGGUGCAGUCUGCCCUUCCCGGAUCGUGCCACCUUUCUCCCGUGGUUUAGGGCAAUAGUAAUAGAGGACAGGCGAAGAACACCUUCAGGGUCAACUGUGUGUGACAGGUUUUUGGAAAGUUUCUACACCCCAUAAGUCUCUCCGCCCAUGCAGCAAUCCAAAUCAGACCAAAUCAAACUGAAUUAGAAAAAGCCCAUGUUUAAUGGAUACAGCACUCCUGGAUGGCCUUCCAGCCCCCCAGAGAGGAGACAGAAAAUGGAAGAUCAAGAAAACCACAAGGAGAUAGAGCCCAUCAUGGCCCAGAAGGCAGAGCAAAAAUCAGGAGAAUCAUAUUUCAUCUGCACUAAAUGGCAAGGUUAUAGAUCUUCAAAGCGGACUCCACUGACAUACUUCCUAAAGGUUCCAAAACCUCUUCUAAACAGCACCACCAACUGGAGACAAACAGUGACUUCCCAUACAUGCAGAGACCAGAAGAGGAAGCUGGGUACCCUGCAACUGAAGACACUGGUUCUUGGGAGCUAGGAGUCAAAGUUAGGUGCUCUGGGAGUGCCUGUGUGCUCUUAUGACUCAGCCAUUCUCCAGCCCUCAGAGCCAUUCUUUAUGUCAUUAAAUUGUCUUUGCAACUGAA